AUGGUGCUCGCGCAGCUGGGUGGGAGCAUCUGCCACGCGCUCGCGCAAAUGAGCAACAUCACGGUGAUCGACGAGAAGGUGCUCGGGGAGUGCCUCAACGAGAUCUCCCACGCGCUCCUGCAGUCUGACGUCCGGAAGAUCGUCAACCUCGAGACCCUCGCUGCUGGUACCAACAAGCGGCGCAUCAUACAACAGGCCGUCUUCAGGGAGCUUUGCAGCAUGCUGGAUCCAGGGAAGCCGGUCUUCACCCCCAAGAAGGGCAAGCCCAACGUCGUCAUCGGAUUGCAGGGCCAGUCUGACUCACCAACCAACCUCGCCUGCUUGCUCUAUUUAUUGUUCUACACCUAUUACUGA
rnacentral:rRNA from 1 species